CCUACGGGAGACAGCAGUGAGGAAUAUUGGUCAAUGGGCGGAAGCCUGAACCAGCCAAGUAGCGUGCAGGAUGACGGCCCUACGGGUUGUAAACUGCUUUUAUACGGGAAUAACGCGCCUUACGUGUAGGGCUUUGCAUGUACCGUAUGAAUAAGGACCGGCUAAUUCCGUGCCAGCAGCCGCGGUAAUACGGAGGGUCCGAGCGUUAUCCGGAUUUAUUGGGUUUAAAGGGAGCGUAGGCCGCAUGUCAAGCGUGCUGUGAAAUGUCCGGGCUCAACCCGGGCCUGGCAGUGCGAACUGGCGGGCUCGAGUCCGAGGAAAGUAGGCGGAAUGCGUGGUGUAGCGGUGAAAUGCUUAGAUAUGGCGAAGAACCCCGAUUGCGAAGGCAGCUUGCUGCAGCGGAACUGACGCUGAUGCUCGAAAGCGCGGGUAUCGAACAGGAUUAGAUACCCGUGUAGUC
rnacentral:rRNA from 1 species